rnacentral:rRNA from 1 species
UUGCACCUACGGGAGGCAGCAGUCGGGAAUAUUGCGCAAUGGAGGAAACUCUGACGCAAUGACGCCGCGUGCAGGAAGAAGGUUUUCGGAUUGUAAACUGCUUUAGAUAGGGAAGAAAAAAAUGACAGUACCUAUAGAAUAAGCUCCGGCUAACUACGUGCCAGCAGCCGCGGUAAUACGUAGGGAGCGAGCGUUAUCCGGAUUUAUUGGGUGUAAAGGGUGCGUAGAUGGAUAAACAAGUUGGUUGUGAAAUCCCUCGGCUUAACUGAGGAAUCGCAACCAACCC